CACACCUGAAAAAGGGCCGAGCCGUACCGGUGCCGAGGAGCUCUUACGGAGUCCACCAGGACGAACAGAAAUUCAUACAGCAAGGCAGAGUGUGGAACGCAGUAAAGAUCUACAAAAUGGCGGACGGAGGACGGAUCUGAGGACGAAGUCAUGAAGCCGACUCCACAGAAUGAGUCACGUUUCUUCAGGAACGUUCUGACAUCCGUGAUGAGGACAGAGAUGCAACUGUGUCUGCAUCCAGGACCUACUGCCAGUCAUCCAGAUGUAGCUCAAGAAAGAAGCAGGUCAGAUUUAUUACUAGAGAUGUCACAAUUGCAUCAAAUGCAUCAGUUUUGCAUGCAUGUUUGUAUAUAUGUGUGGAUGAAUGCAAUCAGCAGUGAAAAGAAAAAUAACAUAAAAUUUUCUUAAGAAGC